GGAGAGGUGUCCGAGUGGCUUAAGGAGCACGCCUGGAAAGUGUGUAUACGGCUUAUACCCGUAUCGAGGGUUCGAAUCCCUCCCUCUCCGCCA
rnacentral:tRNA from 3 species